AGAAAAUUGUAUGCAUGCAAGAAAAUAAGCUAUGAUUAAUCAUGAAAUACACAAAACAUUGUACUGACAGGUAAAAAAAAAGUUGGUUUUAAAUAAUAGAACCCCUUUAAUACAUUUAAGAAACAACAACAUCUCGCCAAUUAUUAUCUAACAUAACUUAUUCAUGAUAAAGUAAAAUAAAAUGUCACCUCUGGUUCCACAGGCCUUACAUAGUUGGAUGGAAAGACUCCGGUUUGGUCGCCAAUGCAUCCUCUCCACCACUCCCCUUCGUGCUCAGUCACCAAGACAACAUCGCCCUCUUCAAAGGUCAGGUCGCCUGCUUCCGGGCUCUCGUACGUGUACAGGGCCACAUAUUCUGUUUUGGGUACAAACACGGAAGCGUCAGUCAGAGGUGGCUAAAAGUUGGAGCAUCUGGAUUGCUAACUUACCUUCAAGCUGAGUACAAUCGCUGACAUCCAGCGUGUCCAUACUUUUAACAACAAUAACAAAAUGUGAACAUAACAGAACAUAACACAUAGGAAGUUGUGUGUCUUCAUACUCCACAUUGCCGACCGCCUCAACAGUGACGCAGCUUCUGGGAAACCAUCCCCGUGUCCCGUUAAGCUGCCCAAACCACCAGUCGCCCCUCUGCUGCAGCACGUUGAUGACAUCGCCCUGCGGCAAGCUGAGCAGCGCAUUGUCGACGUCAUCCGCGUCGAGUGGGAAGUGUGUUGCAGACGGGGCAGGCGACCAUGGAGAGAUGACCCGAGCCAGGACAGGUGCUGCAAACUGGAAGCGUAAUGUGGCACCGCCAGAUGAUAAAGUCUCACCACAGCCUCCAGCUCCAACUCCAGAUUCUUCUUUUUGGCUCGGAGCUGUGAGAUCUCAUCCUGCUCCCCUUCUCGCCUCCUGAUCAGCUCUUCCUUCUUGCUGCGCUCCCAUUGCUCACGACCCUGACGCUCCAGCUCCUGCUUGGCUGCCUGCAGGGAGAAGGAGACAAUAGUGUAGACAGUGAACUUGGAUAUUCUUUCAGCUGCCUUCUCCUCAACAUUUUUCCACUAUCUACACAUUCCACUCAUCCUUACCAUUCAAAUGUAAAUAUUUGGACCCUAAGCUAAAAUUUGAUGGCCAUAUUAUAAAAAUGACUAAAACCAUAAAAAUAAAUAUAAACAGUUUCAGGCUAAUUAAAUCUUGUUUAUCUGUUCAAGCUGCACAAGUUUACAUGCAUGCAAUGAUUUUAUCCCAUACUUUGUCUUAUUGUGCCAUGGUCUGGGGACAGGCCAGGAGACGUGUAGUGAAGCCUCUGUUGUCAUUAUAUAAACAAUCACUAAAGAUAUUUGACCAACAACCAAUGAAGCAUCAUCACGGCCAUAUUACCCAAAAAUAUAACGUGAUGAGUUUUGAUCAUUUUAUAAAUUUCUCAUUUUUAAAAGCUAUUUUUAAGUGUCUUAAUGGAUUAGCCCCUGAUGUGAUGUGUCAAAAAAAAUACAAAGAUACAGUAGUGAAGGUGUGCAGACUCGAGCUGCAGUCGGUGUGAGCUGUAGAGUGAAAAGGUGCCGGACGACUCCGGGUCAGUCUGCGUUCUCAGUGAAGGCCUCACAUCUGUGGAACUCUUUGCCACUGGAGUUAAAGUCACAGUCGGACAUUAAACUUUUGUCCACAAAACUGAAAAAGUGGUUUAAGGAAAAUCAGAAGUGUGAGCACUAGAACUGGAUGUAGUAUGGACAAAUGGGGCCAAUUAUUUUUAAUGUGUUUUGAUUUUUGUACUUGUCUUAAUCCUUUUGUAUGUGUUUUACACUUUUCUCAACUUUUUCUUAAAGCCUAACCAAGGACAAAGGUUGCAAAUUAGCCUGUGGCUAGAAGUCUUAUGUACUUUGACAUCGGUUACCUAUGUGUAUCAAUGUUUAAUUGUACUGUCCCUGUCAAAUAAAUACAUGAAUGAUUGAAUUAAUGAAACUAACAACAUUCAAAGUCCCCCAAAAUUCCUGUUUUUUUCUCCAGAAUUCCCACCAGUUCUAGUUUUAUGUUGUAUUUUCUCUUGAGAAUAUAUACUGUAAUAAAAUUGUAAGAUACUGCAUAAAUACAUCCUCAUAAACUACAGUUGGGAUACAUUGUGUUCGCCUACAACCAUCUACU